CACCAGUUUGUUAUUAAGAGAAUGGAUAUAGAGAUUUUAUAUGUCCAUCAGGCUCUAUUUUCGUCUCCGGGAUUCACAUGAUAUAUCUUACUCCCGAUAUUAUAUUAUUAUAAAAGAAAAUAGUACUUUGUGUGCAUCUUCUUCGAACUACUAAUCGACCGAACCACUCUGGCUGGGCCUUCUUGAUGAUUGCGUCCGUAACCUCAUUUUUUGAAGGAACAUCAUCUUUGACUCACAGCAUCAGGCUACCAAAGCACAUCUCACUUGCAGCAUGCGGCUGCACUGUAUCUAACAAAUAAUGAAUUUAGAACUAAUUAAUCAGCGA
rnacentral:sRNA from 2 species